rnacentral:rRNA from 1 species
AGAGUUUGAUCCUGGCUCAGAGCGAACGCUGGCGGCAGGCUUAACACAUGCAAGUCGAGCGGGCGUAGCAAUACGUCAGCGGCAGACGGGUGAGUAACGCGUGGGAACGUACCUUUUGGUUCGGAACAACACAGGGAAACUUGUGCUAAUACCGGAUAAGCCCUUACGGGGAAAGAUUUAUCGCCGAAAGAUCGGCCCGCGUUCUGAUUAGCUAGUUGGUGAGGUAACGGCUCACCAAGGCGACGAUCAGUAGCUGGUCUGAAAGGAUUAUCAGCCCCAUUGGGAAUGAGACCCCGGCCCAAACUCCUACGGGAGGCAGCAGUGGGGAAUAUUGGACAAUGGGCGCAAGCCUGAUCCAGCCAUGCCGCGUGAGUGAUGAAGGCCCUAGGGUUGUAAAGCUCUUUUGUGCGGGAAGAUAAUGACGGUACCGCAAGAAUAAG